GGUUUCUUAAAAAAAAAUAGGAGAUUUGGCCUGCCCACUGAUGAAUUUUAAGGGCCGCAGUAAUUUGACUGUGCAAAGGUAGCAUAAUCAUUAGUCUUUUAAUUGGAGGCUGGAAUGAAAGGUUGAACGAGGAAAUAACUGUUUUAUAUAAUUAUAAAGUUGAAUUUAGGGUUUAAGUAAAAAAACUUAAAUAAUAUUAAGGGACGAGAAGACCCUAUAGAGUUUAAUAAUUUAAUUUAUAAUUAAGUUAUAUAAGAAUUUUUGAUUAUAAAAUUUAAUUUAUUUGAUUGGGGUGAUGAAAGAAUAAAUAAAACUUCUUUUUAGGGUAAAUGUUUAUAAAUAAAAAUAAGAUCCACUAAUAAAGUGAUUAAAAGAUUAAAUUACCUUAGGGAUAACAGCAUAAUACUUUUUGCAAGUUCUUAUUAAAAAGGGAGAUUGUGACCUCGAUGUUGGAUUAAGAUAAAUUUUAGGUGUAGAUGUUUAUAAAUUAGGUCUGUUCGACCUUUAAAAUCUUACA
rnacentral:rRNA from 1 species